rnacentral:misc_RNA from 1 species
GAAGAGAAACAACCCACCUCGAGUGUGACCUCAUCAUUUCAGGACACAAUGGCACCACAAGAUGCCGACGUCACUGAUGCGACGGACUACAAGAAACCGCCUGCUGAAACUGAGCAGAAGGCACUCACCAUUCAACCACGGUCAAACAAGGCGCCCAGUGACGAGGAGUUGGUACGCAUCAUCAACGCGGCGCAGAAGCGAGGCCUCACACCCGCGGCCUUUGUUCAAGCAGCUAUAGUCUUCACCAUGGAAUCCAUGGACAAGGGCGCCACCGACUCCACGAUUUUCACGGGAAAAUACAACACUUUCCCAAUGAAAAGUCUGGCGCUAGCUUGCAAAGAUGCUGGCGUGCCCGUGCACAAACUUUGCUACUUCUAUACCAAGCCGGCUUACGCGAACCGUAGGGUCGCCAACCAGCCGCCUGCUCGCUGGACCAACGAGAAUGUGCCCAAAGCUAACAAGUGGGCGGCUUUCGACACCUUCGACGCACUUCUCGACCCAUACGUAGUCCCAUCCUCUGUACCGUACGAUGAGCCCACGCCAGAGGAUCGCCAAGUCAAUGAGAUUUUCAAGAAGGACAAUUUGAGUCAGGCAGCAUCCAGAAACCAACUCCUAGGAACGCAAGCCUCCAUCACGCGCGGGAGACUCAACGGCGCACCAGCACUACCAAACAACGGGCAGUACUUCAUCGAGGCACCUCAGUGAUCAGUAGUAUGAUACCAAUAAAUAAAUCGGGCGAAUCCGCGCCUCCUGACUAUGGGCAGGUUUACGGACCAAGCUGUAUCGAGAUACGACCUAACAGUAACGCAGCUAAGGGGUGAAUGCA